rnacentral:rRNA from 1 species
UCCGUAGGGUGCGAUCGUUAAUCGGAAUUACUGGGCGUAAAGCGUGCGCAGGCGGUUCGCUAAGACAGAUGUGAAAUCCCCGGGCUUAACCUGGGAACUGCGUUUGUGACUGGCGGGCUGGAGUGCGGAAGAGGGAGGCGGAAUUCCACGUGUAGCAGUGAAAUGCGUAGAGAUGUGGAGGAACACCGAUGGCGAAGGCAGCCUCCUGGCCUAGCACUGACGCUCAUGCACGAAAGCGUGGGGAGCAAACAGG